rnacentral:tRNA from 1 species
GUGCAUUUGUUUUAAGCGCAAAAGAUAUCCGUCAACU